UACGAAGGGGGCUAGCGUUGUUCGGAAUUACUGGGCGUAAAGCGCGUGUAGGCGGGUCUUUAAGUCAGGGGUGAAAUGCCAAGGCUCAACCUUGGAACUGCCUUUGAUACUGGAGAUCUUGAGUCCGGGAGAGGUGAGUGGAAUUGCGAGUGUAGAGGUGAAAUUCGUAGAUAUUCGCAAGAACACCAGUGGCGAAGGCGGCGACCUGGUCCGAUACUGACGCUGAGGCGCGAAAGCGUGGGGAGCAAACAGG
rnacentral:rRNA from 1 species